AACUAACAAGGAUUCCCCUAGUAACUGCGAGUGAAGCGGGAAAAGCUCAAAUUUAAAAUCUGGCAGUCUUUGGCUGUCCGAGUUGUAAUCUAGAGAAGUAUUAUCUGCGCUGGACCGUGUACAAGUCUCCUGGAAUGGAGCGUCAUAGAGGGUGAGAAUCCCGUCUUUGACACGGACUGCCAGGGCUUUGUGAUGUGCUCUCAAAGAGUCGAGUUGUUUGGGAAUGCAGCUCAAAAUGGGUGGUAAAUUCCAUCUAAAGCUAAAUAUUGGCGAGAGACCGAUAGCGAACAAGUACCGUGAGGGAAAGAUGAAAAGAACUUUGGAAAGAGAGUUAAACAGUACGUGAAAUUGCUGAAAGGGAAACGCUUGAAGUCAGUCACGUUGGCCAGGGAUCAACCUUGCUUUUCUGCUGGGCUUACUUUCUGGUCAAUGGGUCAGCAUCAAUUUUGGCUGGUGGAAAAAGUUCAAGGGAAUGUGGCAUCUUCGGAUGUGUUAUAGCCUUUGUUCACAUACACUGGUUGGGAUUGAGGAACUCAGCAUGCCGCAAGGCCGGGUUUUUAACCACGUACAUGCUUAGGAUGCUGGCAUAAUGGCUUUAAUCGACCCGUCUUGAAACACGGACCAAGGAGUCUAACAUGCCUGCAAGUGUUUGGGUGAAAAACCCGAGUGCGUAAUGAAAGUGAAAAGUUGAGAUCCCUGUCGUGGGGAGCAUUGACGCCCGGAUCUGACCUUUUGUGACGAUUCUGCGGUAGAGCAUGCAUGUUGGGACCCGAAAGAUGGUGAACUAUGCCUGAAUAGGGUGAAGCCAGAGGAAACUCUGGUGGAGGCUCGUAGCGAUUCUGACGUGCAAAUCGAUCGUCAAAUUUGGGUAUAGGGGCGAAAGACUAAUCGAACCAUCU
rnacentral:rRNA from 1 species